rnacentral:miRNA from 15 species
ACGAGUAUAUUUUGGUCACAUG